rnacentral:misc_RNA from 1 species
CAGCUCGUCAGCAGGCAGUGUGACCGUGUCUCACGCUUAUGCAUUAUGAAACUGUUGUUAGCUUAGAUAUUUAUAAUACUUUGCUAGAUCGGGCAGCGGAGACGUACAUGCCGCAUCUGCUUUGAUUUACAGUCCGAUUAGUCAAGCUUAUUUACAGGUGGUACUGUAGUAACUGAUCGUUCAAAUUCUUUGUGUUUCAAUCUCAGCGAAUCGCUUCAUUUAUUUACAUUCGAAAUCGAUGGCCCAACCUACCCGCUGAUAGAUGGACACCAAUUCUAUUGCAACACUGCCGAUGCAGACCGGGGAAUCGAAUAGCUGCAGUCUAGGGCAGAACGUUUGGGAGGUAUUACCUAGAGUGUCAAAGACAGCCAUCAAUUACCUUCUGACUUUGGCCACGCUGCACACCUGAUCAAAGCUGUCUUUGUGAUCAACUCGGCACGGUUCAAGGCAGGCUGUACGACGCAGGCUGAACGGCUGAUCUUCACACACAGUGAGAGACACUUAAACAUUUACACAGUGAGCAGCACAGCACAGGCUUGUGUCAGUGUCAGCUCCAUGCUGUUAUAGCGAGUAGGGGAAGGCGACAGACGCCAGUGUUAGCUCUUCAGGUUCAGAAGUCAGUGUUCGCAAGAAGAGGAAACAUCCAGAGCUGCAAGUCGCUGCGAAGCCGACAGGUCAAAUUCUUCGUUGGUAUUAUAGCUCGUUUGCAUCGUGUGGUGCCAGUGACACAGCAACAACACAAGGUGCUGGACGAAGAAGUGUGCUUACCCGUACUAGAGGGUCAUAGUCUGACACUGCAGAUGAGUGGUGCUAUGUGAUCAUGUGUACAGAUCUGAGCUCUCCACAGACGUGGUUACAUAUAGGACUUCACAUAGACGUGGGUAUAUAAAACUUCACAUAGACGUGGGUUUACAUAGAAGAACUCCACAGAGACGUGGUAAUAUAGCAUUCACCAUGGACAUGGCAUCACUAUAGCUCGGACUAAAACAGAUUUGACCAACCCAGAAAUCACUAGAAGUGGAAUCUACAAGCAGGUGUUGAAGAAUCCGCCACCGUGUGAAGUGAUACUCGUUAUGUCAGCAGUGGCCUCUAAAGCCGCCUGAAGCAUCAUCUCAUCACGUUAGCAGCUUCCCUGUCUAGUAGCAGUGUGAGAUAUCAGCUGUAGUUUGCUUUUGCUGCGACCAUCAUGCGAGAGGAAGACAUUGAGACUGCCAUUAAGGUGGUGAUUGUAGGCAACGGUGCUGUCGGCAAGUCGUCGAUGAUCCAGAGGUUCUGUAAAGGAAUCUUCACAAAGGAAUACAAAAAGACGAUAGGGGUGGACUUCCUGGAGCGACAGAUCACAGUAAAUGGUGAGGACGUUAGACUGAUGCUGUGGGACACGGCGGGACAGGAAGAGUUUGAUGCGAUCACGAAGGCUUACUAUAGAGGGGCGCAGGCUUGUGUACUCACAUUUUCAACUGUAGACCGAAACUCGUUCGACGCCAUAGAAAAGUGGAAGAAGAAGGUGGAAGCUGAAUGUGGCUAUGUGCCCAGUGUACUGGUACAGAAUAAGAUGGACUUGGUGGAACAGUCAGUAGUAAACAAGGAGGAGGCGGAAGCACUCGCUAAGCGACUGAAGCUGCGACUUUAUCGGACAUCUGUGAAGGAAAACCUACACGUCGACGAAGUUUUCAGGUAUCUGUCUGACAAAUACAUGUUACUGAUGAACAGCUGUGUAGAUGAUGGCCAAAUGCAGAGAAUCGGUGGACCAAACGUGUUCACGACGGGAAAUGGCAUCGAUAACAGAAAUGGCAAUGAAAAACAUCAGACCAUCCAACUGCACCCAAACAAGAGACGCACUCAGGGGAAGAAAUCGGUCAUUGGGAAAUGCUCUCUUCUGUGAUUUCUUGAAUAUUAUUCACUUUCCGGUGCAUUGGGGGCAAAAGUGCAAAUGUGGAUUCGCAUUUCCUUGUGCUCUGGGCAGGUCUGAUAUAGUCAGGGUAGUAGUCAUGCACAUAUAAAAGAGCUGUUCAACUGUUCGUCUCAUAUUGAAGGCUUUAGAUGUCAGUGAUAUGUGGCGCCCUCUGUGGCACAUUACAACUGCUGCAGUCCUUUAUCAUCUACGACUACUUCUAGGUGGAACGUGGAGUAAGGUAUAUUCACCUGUGAAUCGGUGGAUACAUGUUGCUUGCCUUAAUUACGUUCACCGAGUGCAACUGUGUGCUCUUAUAAACCAUGACCGAUAAAAAGCUGCGAUUUUCUGCCAUAUAGAACACAUUGCCGCCGCUUUUAUAAUAUGAUGAUUAAAUGUAUAAAAAUCAAUUAAAAAACUGUGUCUCAGUAUAUUAGAAAGAAGUUGCUUAGGAAAGGUUCUAGCCAUCUAGUGAUUAUGUCAGAAUGAUCGAUUUGAUGAAGUUAAUCAAACGUAAUGUCACGAUUGAGUUUGGUCAAGCGGUCUGCUGUAAUAUGCCAUUUAUUAUGGUGACCUGCAUUAGCUGGUCAAUAAUUUCUCAUAUUAUGGAUACUACUGUGGGUUAAUGUGUGUGGCACUAAGGAAUUAGUGAAUGCAUAGCACGUUUUAACAGGUGUGUACAAAUGGUGAUUGACAUUUUCACAUUCCAGCUUGUGUAAAACGCCAAUCACUUUUAAGUGGGUUGCAUGCAGCUGGAUAACUCCUAGUCAGGUGCAUGCAUUUAUUUAACCGAUAAUAUCUGAAUAGCUACUUUUCAAAAUUUAACUAUGUGUCGUGGUGAAUUUGAAUGCUGCUCCUAUUACUAUGACUUUAUUUUCGUGUCGACAGCAGUAAUCUCAUAUUGUACUGCAGUGUUAUUGCAGAAAUAUAUUUGUAAUGGUUAAAAGUAGUGACGAGGAAAUGGAACGAAAAUACGCCAUAGGUCCGUCCGUUUUUGCUAAGGAUAGGGGAGGGUUAUAUUUAUACACAGUCAUUCCACGCUGGAAUGUCGCUGAUAGUUUUUGAGAAUUUUUUUCAUGCGUUGAGACUCCUAUAGUAAUUUCAUACGAACGUGUUGUACCGUGUUAUAUCGAUAUAUAUAUAUAUAUGCAUUCGCAUGGAAGGUUCUUUAUCAGGAAUGCAUAAUAUAGAGUUUUCUACAUUCUGCACUCCUGCCUUUAUGUGUAACUACCUGCUUGCUUAGCCAUGUUACCUCUUUUAUAAGAUUCUGCCGAAACUUGCAUUCAUAGAGUUAUUUUUGCAUAAGUGUCUGUGUGAUUCUAUAUACUGUCAACAUGGUGCCGUGUUUCUCAGUAAUGACUGUUGUCAAAGAUUGGCGUGCUGUUGUUAUGCUUUUGUCACAGCUUGCCAAUUAUAUAGCGGCAUGACAUGCCAAACUCUAAUUAUGUAUCGUAUAUUUCUGUAUAUGUAUAUUUAUCUUGUGAUAUUUCAGUGAUGUGUGAUGUACGUAAGUAACGAUGUCAGUGCGAAGUCGCUAAUUUUCAAUGUCAACAAUUUUGUAUAUAAAUCUCAACUAUAUCAUGAAAUCAAGUUGAUUUGUUACGUGGCUGGUGGGCCAAGUGCUGAAGGGGUUGAGCAAUGGCCCAAGGUCAGGGAAGGACGAUAGGGGGAUAUAAAGCCAAGGCCCAAGGUCAGGGAAGGACGAUAGGGAGAUAUAAAGCCAACGCCCAAGGUCAGGGAAGGACGAUAGGGUGAUAUGAAGCCAAGGCCCAAAGUCAGGGAAGGACGAUAGGGGGAUAUAAAGCCAACGCCCAAGGUAAGGAAAGGUCAAUGGGGGAGAUGAAACAAAGGCCAAGAGCAAAGGAAGGACGAUAGGGUGAUAUGAAGCCAAUGUCUGAGGUUAGGGAGGACGACGGGGGAUAGGAAGCCAGUUCCUAAGGUCAGGGGAGGACGACGGGGGAUCAUAGGAAGUGAUGCUUGUGGAGAAGAGAAGUCAAUUAAUCCGUUUUAAAAUGAAAGAAAAAUAACACUUAUUGUAUGAUCAAUUUAAUUAAUCAAAUUUUUAUCUGCCCCUGUCCUCAAUCAUCAGUGGCAUCAUAUAAUCCUAUAGUCUUGUUUGUUCUGAUAAAGAAUAUGUAACGCUGAGAGGAACAAGGAGUGGUGGUGGGGAGAGAGAGAUAAAGGAAAUGCGUUAGAAGAGUGAGGAAAAACAUGAUAGAGGAGUGAGACAACGCGUACUUGGCUUUCAUUGUUUCCGUCAUUAUUCGUUUUUCUUUGUCUCGAGAUAUUCCCCAAUAAUGUCGACUUUUUUGGUAGAACGCGGUGGUGUGACUGCAGCCAAUGUGGUGUUGUAAUGUCGUUGUACGGGAGCGCACGCCCAGCAUACUAAUCUCUAGAGAAUCUCAUCUGCAAAAUUGAUGGUGUCCUCUAAUCGUUACAUCGCCAAUCUCUAUGAUAUAACGCCCGCGUUUAUGUUGGAUUCCCACUCUUCCUUCCGUCCGCGCGUUAGCCCCCCCCCCCGCCAUCAUAUUCGUGGGGGAUAGCGAAUGAAUUUGUGCCGUGCAACCGUCACGUUUAGUAUCUAUUGAUACUGUAAAUUUAGUACGGCAACUAGAGGGAGAGGGGCGCAUUGCCUGACUAGCAGUAAUACAAGUAACUGCUGCUUUUCUCGUGUUCCAUACCCGGGUAGGUAUAUCAAUAUCAAGAGUAGAUAAUAGAGAUCUACUCUUAAUCAAUAUUGAUAUACCUGCUCUGUCUAUAUGCAGGCGCUGGCGGCGGUGGUGUUACCUGUCGGGCUAUGCAGUAGUGUGCUCACAGAUCGGAAAAAUAAUUCUAUAUCCUGACAGCAUCAUGAUGAAGCGAUGUUUGUAUCAAACGUUUGUACACAACUCGCCUGACAGGUGUUUUUCGCCUAGCCGAUUCUAUCUACUUUAUAGUGGAAAUAUUAAUUAUGUGGUUGUAGUAUAUUGACAGCUGUGAUGGAGGCAACACUUACAGUGAAAUAUUUUUUGAGCUUGUACAUUUUAAUCGGUGAUGAGCAUUGCACGAAUAAACAUUGUCAUAUUCAGUAAAUGUAUUAUUUUCCUUGAAUGUUGUAGGAAAUGGAAAGAAUUUUAUUGACAAUUUUCCUAUGCGUUGUACAGUUUCCCGCCGAAUUUUUCUUUCUCGCAGAGAAAGUGAUUUCAAUGUCUAUAUACAUAGCUGGACUAACCUAUGAAUGAAUACGUGUAUAUGUUAUUCAUGCAUAAUAAAUUUAUGCUGGCUUCGUUA